rnacentral:tRNA from 1 species
GCGAGGGUGGCGGAAUUGGUAGACGCGCUAGUUUCAGGUACUAGUGGGGAAAUCCUGUGGGGGUUCGAGUCCCCCCCCUCGCACCA